CUACCUAGUCCGCUGACAAUGAUGCAUGACUGAAUGUGGUGUGUAUAGUGGAAGUGAAUUAGAAUGUGUGUAAUGGAUGUAGUGUUUGUGUGUAUUAGAUUCUGUUUGAACAGUGAAUGCAGAGUGUGUGUUUGUGUAGCGGAUGCAGUGUGUAUAGUGAACGCAGAGUGUGUUUGAGUAGUGGAUGUAGUGUGUGAUUGUGUAGUGGAUGUAGUGUUUGUGUGUACUAGAUGAAAUGUGUUUAGUGGAUGCAGUGUCUGUAGUGGAUGUAGUGUGUGUAUUAGACACAGUGUCUCUGUAUAGUGAAUGCAGAGUGUUUGAAUGUAUGGUGGAUGUAGUGUGUGUACUGAGAAUACAGGAUGUUUGUGUAGUGAAUGCUGUGUGUAUAGUUAAUGCAGAGUGUGUGUCAGUGGAGUGGAUGCAGGGUGUGUGUCAGUGUAGUGAAUGCAGAGUGUGUGUUAGUGUAGUUAAUGCAGAGUAUGUGUUAGUGUAAUGAAUGCAGAGUGUGUGUUAGAGUAGUAAAUGCAGUGUGUGUCAGUGUAGUGAAUGCAGAGUGUGUGUCAGUGUAAUGAAUGCAGCGUGUGUGUUAGUGCAGUGAAUGCAGUGUGUUUGUUAGUGUAAUGAAUGCAGAGUGUGUGUCAGUGUAGUGAAUUCAGAGUGUGUGUCAGUGUAGUGAAUGCAGUGUGUGUGUUAGUGCAGUGUGUGUG